GAGUAUCAUAGUGGACAUGGCAUCUGCCCGGUAAGCGGAACACUGUGGGUUCGAUUCCCUCCUUGGACA